AAACCCCUCUGAAGGCAGCAGCAGGGCUCAGCCCCGCCGCCUGCCCGGAAAUCCAGGACACAAAGCAAGGCCGGUAACACAACGCCUGUAACGCAGCAAAGUCGCUGGAAGGAGCCCAAAAGCCGUGUCUAAUGCUAAUAAUAAGCGUAUUUCCCAAAGCUGGGGGAGGGCCCCGGCUGCCCCGUGAGCGUUUGCAAUCAAUGCAGAUAAUGCACUUGGAAGUGCUCUCUCCUUUACUGGUUUUCCGUAAAUUGCUGGGCACAGCUUCCCAGGGAUAAUGGCAGAGCUGUGCCUGUGCCAGCAAGGAUUGACUUCCAAAUGAAAAAGGAGAGUGCAGCUCCUUGGGAUGGUUUAGUCUGGGAGCUCCCCCGGGGUUCCACCUCUUCCCGUGGAACAGAGCGUUCCUCCCUUCCCUGGAGUUUAUCCCAAAGACACAACGAACCCAAACAUCCUCCUCCUCCUCCUCCUCCUGGAAGUGCCAGCUCAGGGAGGUCUGGAGUCCCCAGCCCUGGAUGCUGAGCUUCCAGAAUCCUGGAAUGGUUUGGCUUGGAAGGCACCUCAAAGCUCUCCUCAUCCUCCACAUCGUCCCAGCUGUCCAAGGAAUUCUGGAUGUGGCACUCAGGUGACAAGGAGGAAAUCUUGAUGGGAUGUCGAGUCAGGACCUCGUAAUUCUUAUUUGAAGGACCAUUAAAAUGGAAAUAUUUUCUGAAAUGCAGCACAGGCGAGGAUCUGAGCUGCAGAGAAAAUGCUGCAGGUGAAACUUCUCCUGAAAAACCCUCCCCAGUCCAGAGGUGAGUGAGUGAUGAGCCAAAAAAAGAGGAUUUCGAGACAACGUGACUCCAGCAGGCCAUGAGAACAAUGAGAAGUUCAAAAAUAGCACUAUUGACUGCUGGAAAAACAACAUACAUAUAAUUUUCAGGCUUUGCUUAUUAAGAAUCAUUUACUAUCUGUGGAAACAACUUCUGACUUAAGCACUGGGGCCUUAAAAAAUCACUUUUAAUUGGAAUGAGAGAGUUCCUCCCAGUGAAACCCUGGGUUUGUUGAUGCUGGAAGUGUGGAGAGUGCAAUUAAAAGCCUCCCUCACCUCUGUGAUGACAUUUUGGAAAUAAAUGCAGCUUUCUGGAGUUUUUCUCCUCAGGUUUGAAUAGUUUUUGGCCAACUUGAAGCUUCUGGAGGAUCUGAUGUUUUAAGUCUUGCCUGGCUUUGAAUUUCUCAGCUCCCCCGGACCUGCUGUGGUUGCUUUUUAUUCUUUCUUCUCGUGCUGCAUCCACAAAUUAUGAAAAUGGGUGCUAAUGACCAAAAAAAAAAAAAAAAAAAAUCCCAAUUGUGAUUCAUGGAAAUGGAAUUUUGUUGACAAAAAAAAGGGGAUUUAACUCGGCCAAAGGAAAUGCUUUUCCAACUGGAGAUGAAUAUCUCAGGAAUGACCAUUUCUUCUCAGAGACAGAACCAUUCCAGUUUUAAUUUCAGAAAAAAUGAAAUAAAUAGAAUAAUUCAAAUAAAAGCCUGGAGAAAAGCAAGCAGAUCCACCCAACAGGGGCAGUUUUUCCAGGGAAAGAAGUCCCAGGAGUGAAUUUGAGCUAUCUCACCCUGCCCCCUCCCCAAACCAGCCUUUCAGACAGCGAGAGAAAUCUUCAUCACACGCAGUGCUGCUCAUCAGCCUCCUCUAAUUGCUGCUCAUUUUCCGAGCGCUUCGUUUGAACGCGGCAGAGCUCCAGGAGAAGAGCGGGCAUUGGAAUUGGGAUGAGGGGUGAAGGAAGAGGGGUGUCAGCCAGGAGUUUCCUGCCAGGCUGGAGAAGAUUUCUGGGUGAAACGGUGGGAAAUGAAAAGUUUGGAAAGAGAUGUGAGUGCUGUGCUUUGCUCAGCGCAUCAGACUUCAUUAUAUCCUUACCACAAACAGGAUGCCAUCAAAAAUCUGCUUAUUAAACACAUAAUUUAUA